AUCAGGUGUGUUGGACCAGGGUUGAGGAAAUGCUGCUUUAGUUCACCUCCUGUUGAGCAAUGGCUUCCUCCACUCCUCUUUCAAGCAGUCUUUCCCAGUCAAAAUGACUGUCCAGCAGGUGGAGCCAGUCAUUCAGGUGGUUGACGAGGGUGAAGGCGUCUGGGAUGUUGUCGCCCUCUGAGCAGAAGAGCAGCAGAACAGCCAGUGGAAGAUCCUCAGAGCAACUAAACACACAAAUAGUCCUUUAGUGAUUCCUCCUCCGGGGAUGCAGAGGCGUGGCUCUGCGUUGGUGUCCGUCAUUCCUGGGAAUGCUGGCACUUGCUCCAUUUCCCUCCAGCCCAAUGACUUCAGAGCGUCCUCGCUCACUUUCAGCAGGGACGGAGUGACCAGGUACCUCAGUGGCAUUCUACGAUACAAGUACACAUUAGACUUGAGAUCUGACCAGGUUAGGGAGAGAAAUGCAGAGAUGACGUGAAAUACAAUAUUGUUACCCUUUCAGCUGUUGGUCAUCCCUCUGGUAGGCGUGGCUGCUGGACAGAAUUACAGUCCUGGAGAACCCGCUGGACUUGAGCCAAGACACGAUCAGUUGACGAAACUUUUUGAACUUUGUCUGCAGUUUAAAUUAAAGUCAUUAAUAUAUAAU